UGGUGGAGUGAUUUGUCUGGUUAAUUCCGUUAACGAACGAGACCUCAGCCUGCUAAAUAGUACGGGUUUUCUCGCGAAAGCCCGCGACUUCUUAGAGGGACUUUUCGCGCUUCGUAGCGGAAGGAAGUUUGAGGCAAUAACA
rnacentral:rRNA from 1 species